GCCUUACACAUGCAAGUCGAACGGCAGCACGGGUGCUUGCACCUGGUGGCGAGUGGCGAACGGGUGAGUAAUACAUCGGAACAUGUCCUGUAGUGGGGGAUAGCCCGGCGAAAGCCGGAUUAAUACCGCAUACGAUCUACGGAUGAAAGCGGGGGACCUUCGGGCCUCGCGCUAUAGGGUUGGCCGAUGGCUGAUUAGCUAGUUGGUGGGGUAAAGGCCUACCAAGGCGACGAUCAGUAGCUGGUCUGAGAGGACGACCAGCCACACUGGGCCUGAGACACGGCCCAGACUCCUACGGGAGGCAGCAGUGGGGAAUUUUGGACAAUGGGCGAAAGCCUGAUCCAGCAAUGCCGCGUGUGUGAAGAAGGCCUUCGGGUUGUAAAGCACUUUUGUCCGGAAAGAAAUCCUUGGUUCUAAUAUAGCCGGGGGAUGACGGUACCGGAAGAAUAAGCACCGGCUAACUACGUGCCAGCAGCCGCGGUAAUACGUAGGGUGCGAGCGUUAAUCGGAAUUACUGGGCGUAAAGCGUGCGCAGGCGGUUUGCUAAGACCGAUGUGAAAUCCCCGGGCUCAACCUGGGAACUGCAUUGGUGACUGGCAGGCUAGAGUAUGGCAGAGGGGGGUAGAAUUCCACGUGUAGCAGUGAAAUGCGUAGAGAUGUGGAGGAAUACCGAUGGCGA
rnacentral:rRNA from 1 species